rfam:Cricetulus griseus cell line CHO-K1, whole genome shotgun sequence.
GGGGGUAUAGCUCAGGGGAAGAGGAUGAGCCUGCAGAUCAAGAGGUCCCAGGUUCAAAUCCAGGUGCCCCCU